ACUAAACAAAAAAAACUUAAGUUAACUUAAUUUUAUUAAAAGUUUUUGUUUGCAUCUUAUAUUUUUUACUUUUUAACCCUAGACAGCAUUACCUGUGUCAUUUUUUAGUAGUUUCAAUAAAAAGACUGAUUGACAGCUGCUUAAAAAAAAAAACUUGCUCAGUCUAGGGUUGAAAACUAUAUAUUAACUCACUUUUUCUGUAGUCAAUUUAUUAUUAAUAUCUUAAUUCUAGUUGUGUUAGCCUGGUCCACUGCAAAUGGUUUAACACGGAAACAUCCUAUUUAUGUGUGCCAACUAUGUCCAUACUCUACCCCUAGGAGAUAUAAUAUGCGUACUCACCAAGUCAAGCAUACUGGGGAACGUCCAUUUAACUGUUCUGAAUGUGGCAAAUUUUUCACGCAGAGAAGCAGUUUGAAUUCACAUCGUCGACGUGCUCAUUUGCAAUUGACUGAAGAAGAUGCUCUUCGAAUGUUACAGGAACACCAAAACAGUUUUGACAUUAAAGCAUGAAACCUUAUUUUUGUCCUAUAAUAUUCCUGCCAUUUAUAUCAUUUCUGAAAACAACCAUGCUAAUUCAGAGCACAAACUACUUCAUUUUCUACUCUUCUUUUACUUAACUUUUAUAUAAAAGACUUUCUUUUUUUUUCUAAAUAUCUACAAUGUAUUCUAAAAACAAUGGAUUGUUUUGAAAAUGUAUCUAACUGUUUGUGUUAAUAUUUUAUAUCUGUUGUAUUUUUAUGAAUUAUUUAUGUCAACUGAACUGAAAAAAACUCUAAUGAGCUUAAUGUGUAACAUUCUUAAAGUUUAUCAUAGCAUUAAAGAUAAUCAAUAUUUUGGUUUUUA